rnacentral:tRNA from 1 species
UUCCCUUUUAGCUCAGUUGGUUCCUUUUUAUUAGAAGCUUGGCGGACUGUUAAUUCGUGUAUCACUGGUUCAAGUCCAGUAGAGUGAAGCCA